GACGAACGCUGGCGGCGUGCUUAACACAUGCAAGUCGAACGCAGUGGCGAACGGGUGAGUAACGCGUAAUCAACCUGCCCUUCAGCGGGGGACACCAGUUUGAAACGACUGAUAAUACCGCAUACUGAAGGAGGGGCUUGCGUCUGAUUAGAUCGUUGGCGGGGGAACGGCCCCCCAAGGCGAUGAUCAGUAGCCGGUCGGAGAGGAUGAACGGCCACAUUGGGACUGAGACACGGCCCAGACUCCUACGGGAGGCAGCAGUGGGGAAUCUUCCGCAAUGGACGAAAGUCUGACGGAGCAACGCCGCGUGAGUGAUGACGGCCGUCGGGUUGUAAAGCUCUGUUAAUCGGGACGCGGUACCGGAAUAGAAAGCCACGGCUAACUACGUGCCAGCCGCCGCGGUAAUAC
rnacentral:rRNA from 1 species